UUACUGUGACAUUUAAGGAGGGAAAAACAAGCUGUCCUGAACUGCGGCGGUCUCAGUUGUAAUCUAUUUUGAGACCAUGUACUAUAAGGACAUCCCCGUUCACACAGGACUGCUAUCCCAUAAAAUAAGGAUUAAUAGGCAUCAGGAGAAUUAGCACCAGAGAGGGUGAUUGAUUGUAUGCCACCAAACAGCUAUGAAAUAACAGAGCCAGGAGUGAUCAUGACAGAGGAAGACAGCCUGUUCACUGCUCACCUCUUACUCUUCACACCCACAAGAAGACCUACUAUGUGGCCAGUAGACUACCGAAGGGUGGCAGAAUAUGCCACGCCAAACUAUGCCACUUUGGCAUAAGGAUAAUUUUGGCUAAAGGCACUUAAAAAAAAAAAAAAAAGCAAGAGCAAGAAGGGUGCUCUGACCUUCCUUCUCCUUCCUGGAAGCGGGAGACAAGACCCCACAUGGAAGAUGACCUCCCUGUGCCUCCGGAGGAAAGUAACUUCUUGUCAUCAAGGAUGGGAAGUUGAAGUGGAGAGAAUUCUGCACAACAGAGCUGUUAAAAUAAUCUCCAUCUUCCUUCGGCCUCCUCAUGUAUUUUAGUUACUUUUCCACAACUGCUAUCUCUGUUCAACCUAGCAUAAAAGCAUUUAGAUUUUGCCACUUCUUGAGGUCUUCAUUACUGCGGGGCGCUCCCACAUCAGUAAAGCUUACAUUAAAUGAA